rnacentral:rRNA from 1 species
UACAGAGGUCUCGAGCGUUGUUCGGAUUCAUUGGGCGUAAAGGGUGCGUAGGUGGCGCCGUAAGUCGGGUGUGAAAUUUCGGAGCUUAACUCCGAAACUGCAUUCGAUACUGCGGUGCUUGAGGACUGGAGAGGAGACUGGAAUUCAUGGUGUAGCAGUGAAAUGCGUAGAGAUCAAGAGGAACACCAGUGGCGAAGGCGAGUCCCUGGACAACACCUGACACUGAGGCACGAAAGCUAGGGGAGCAAACAGG